rnacentral:rRNA from 1 species
UGGCUCAGGAUGAACGCUAGCUACAGGCUUAACACAUGCAAGUCGAGGGGCAUCAGGAAGAAAGCUUGCUUUCUUUGCUGGCGACCGGCGCACGGGUGAAUAACACGUAUCCAACCUGCCCUUUACUCGGGGAUAGCCCUUCGAAAGAAAGAUUAAUACCCGAUAGCAUAAUGAUUCCGCAUGGUUUCAUUAUUAAAGGAUUCCGGUAAAGGAUGGGGAUGCGUUCCAUUAGGUUGUUGGUGAGGUAACGGCCCACCAAGCCUUCGAUGGAUAAGGGUUCUGAGAGGAAGGUCCCCCACAUUGGAACUGAGACACGGUCCAAACUCCUACGGGAGGCAGCAGUGAGGAAUAUUGGUCAAUGGGCGCUAGCCUGAACCAGCCAAGUAGCGUGAAGGAUGAAGGCUCUAUGGGUCGUAAACUUCUUUUAUAUAAGAAUAAAGUGCAGUAUGUAUACUGUUUUGUAUGUAUUAUAUGAAUAAGGAUCGGCUAACUCCGUGCCAGCAGCCGCGGUAAUACGGAGGAUCCGAGCGUUAUCCGGAUUUAUUGGGUUUAAAGGGAGCGUAGGUGGACUGGUAAGUCAGUUGUGAAAGUUUGCGGCUCAACCGUAAAAUUGCAGUUGAUACUGUCAGUCUUGAGUACAGUAGAGGUGGGCGGAAUUAGUGGUGUAGCGGUGAAAUGCUUAGAUAUCACGAAGAACUCCGAUUGCGAAGGCAGCUCACUGGACUGCAACUGACACUGAUGCUCGAAAGUGUGGGUAUCAAACAGGAUUAGAUACCCUGGUAGUCCACACAGUAAACGAUGAAUACUCGCUGUUUGCGAUAUACAGUAAGCGGCCAAGCGAAAGCAUUAAGUAUUCCACCUGGGGAGUACGCCGGCAACGGUGAAACUCAAAGGAAUUGACGGGGGCCCGCACAAGCGGAGGAACAUGUGGUUUAAUUCGAUGAUACGCGAGGAACCUUACCCGGGCUUAAAUUGCAGUGGAAUGAUGUGGAAACAUGUCAGUGAGCAAUCACCGCUGUGAAGGUGCUGCAUGGUUGUCGUCAGCUCGUGCCGUGAGGUGUCGGCUUAAGUGCCAUAACGAGCGCAACCCUUAUCUUUAGUUACUAACAGGUUAUGCUGAGGACUCUAGAGAGACUGCCGUCGUAAGAUGUGAGGAAGGUGGGGAUGACGUCAAAUCAGCACGGCCCUUACGUCCGGGGCUACACACGUGUUACAAUGGGGGGUACAGAAGGCAGCUAGCGGGUGACCGCAUGCUAAUCCCAAAAUCCUCUCUCAGUUCGGAUCGAAGUCUGCAACCCGACUUCGUGAAGCUGGAUUCGCUAGUAAUCGCGCAUCAGCCACGGCGCGGUGAAUACGUUCCCGGGCCUUGUACACACCGCCCGUCAAGCCAUGGGAGCCGGGGGUACCUGAAGUACGUAACCGCAAGGAUCGUCCUAGGGUAA